UACGUAGGGUGCAAGCGUUAAUCGGAAUUACUGGGCGUAAAGCGUGCGCAGGCGGUUUUGUAAGUCAGAUGUGAAAUCCCCGGGCUUAACCUGGGAACUGCGUUUGAAACUACAAGGCUAGAGUGUGACAGAGGGGGGUGGAAUUCCACGUGUAGCAGUGAAAUGCGUAGAGAUCCGGAGGAAGACCGGUGGCGAAGGCGGCCUGCUGGGCAGUUACUGACACUGAGGCGCGACAGCGUGGGGAGCAAACAGG
rnacentral:rRNA from 1 species